AUCACAGACUUUGUUCAAAGCAAACAAACCUUUUUGAACACACAGAUUUACCUUUGCAGGUACACAGUAAAUCUUGUAGGUAAUCAGAUGACAUUUGUUCCUUAAAAAAGUUGGGGUAAAUCCAUUUCUGUCUUCCUAGUCCAAAUCUAAAGGAGACUGCUGUGGUGGCUGUGCAAUAUUCGAAGAAGUCCAAAUUGUGGACCGAAGUGAUGAAAGUUAAUUCUCAUGGGGCUAAGCUAGCAUCUUUGUGCUUAGUUUUCAUUACAAGGAGUUUAUUUUAAUAACUGUGUUCAAAUUUAGGUUUCCGUUUCUGGUCACAGAGCUUUGCAACAAAUAUCUGGCUGACAUCAACAGAUUUAUCAAUG
rnacentral:lncRNA from 1 species